AGAUUAAGCCAUGCAUGUCCAAGUAUAAACCUUUAUACGGUGAAACUGCGAAUGGCUCAUUAUAUCAGUUAUAAUUUACUUGAUGGUCUCUUUACUACUUGGAUAACCGUGGUAAUUCUAGAGCUAAUACAUGCAAAGGGCCCGCAAGGGCGGUAUUUAUUAGAUAAGAACCAAUGCCAGCGAUGGCGUGUGGCGAGUCAUGAUAACUGUGCGGAUCGCAU
rnacentral:rRNA from 1 species